rnacentral:rRNA from 1 species
GACGAACGCUGGCGGCGUGCCUAAUACAUGCAAGUAGAACGCACAGUUUAUACCGUAGCUUGCUACACCAUAGACUGUGAGUUGCGAACGGGUGAGUAACGCGUAGGUAACCUGCCUGGUAGCGGGGGAUAACUAUUGGAAACGAUAGCUAAUACCGCAUAAUAUUAAUUAUUGCAUGAUAAUUAAUUGAAAGGUGCAAUUGCACCACUACCAGAUGGACCUGCGUUGUAUUAGCUAGUAGGUGAGGUAACGGCUCACCUAGGCGACGAUACAUAGCCGACCUGAGAGGGUGAUCGGCCACACUGGGACUGAGACACGGCCCAGACUCCUACGGGAGGCAGCAGGAGGGAAUCUUCGGCAAUGGACGAAAGUCUGACCGAGCAACGCCGCGGGAGUGAAGAAGGUUUUCGGAUCGGAAAGCUCUGUUGUAAGAGAAGAACGGGUGUGAGAGUGGAAAGUUCACACUGUGACGGUAUCUUACCAGAAAGGGACGGCUAACUACGUG